AUUGAACGCUGGCGGCAGGCCUAACACAUGCAAGUCGAACGGUAGCACAGAGAGCUUGCUCUCGGGUGACGAGUGGCGGACGGGUGAGUAAUGUCUGGGAAACUGCCUGAUGGAGGGGGAUAACUACUGGAAACGGUAGCUAAUACCGCAUAACGUCGCAAGACCAAAGAGGGGGACCUUCGGGCCUCUUGCCAUCAGAUGGGCCCAGAUGGGAUUAGCUAGUAGGUGGGGUAACGGCUCACCUAGGCGACGAUCCCUAGCUGGUCUGAGAGGAUGACCAGCCACACUGGAACUGAGACACGGUCCAGACUCCUACGGGAGGCAGCAGUGGGGAAUAUUGCGCAAUGGGGGAAACCCUGACGCAGCGACGCCGCGUGGAGGAUGACGGUUUUCGGAUUGUAAACUCCUGUUAAGUGGGAAGAAUGACCACGGUCUAAUACAUCGUGGGGGUGACGGUACCACUAGAGAAAGCACCGGCUAACUUCGUGCCAGCAGCCGCCGUAACAC
rnacentral:rRNA from 1 species